rnacentral:rRNA from 1 species
CUGCAGCCCGAGUGGUGAUCGAUUUUAUUGAGCCUAAAGCGUCCGUAGCCGGACUAGUAAACUCUUGGGUAAAUUGGGCAGCUUAACUGUCCAAAUUCCGAGAGGACUGCUAGUCUUGGGACCGGGAGAGGUCAGAGGUACUCCAGGGGUAGGGGCUAAAUCCGAUAUGCUUUCGUGGCAUUCGGUUAGCAUUCCUGUAAUCCUUGGGGGACCACCAGUGGCGAAGGCGUCUGACUAGAACGGAUCCGACGGUAAGGGACGAAACCCUGGGGCGCGAACCGGAUUAGAUACCCGAGUAGUCC